GUCUACAGCCAUAGCACCCUGAGUGCGCCCAAACUCGUCUGAUCUCGGAAGCUAAGCAGGGUCGGGCCUGGUUAGUACUUGGAUGGGAGAAAACAAUGGCUUAUUACA
rnacentral:rRNA from 1 species